rnacentral:rRNA from 1 species
GAUGAACGCUGGCGGCGUGCUUAACACAUGCAAGUCGAACGAAGCACUUUAUUUGAUUUCCUUCGGGACUGAUUAUUUUGUGACUGAGUGGCGGACGGGUGAGUAACGCGUGGGUAACCUGCCUUGUACAGGGGGAUAACAGUUGGAAACGGCUGCUAAUACCGCAUAAGCGCACAGCAUCGCAUGAUGCAGUGUGAAAAACUCCGGUGGUAUAAGAUGGACCCGCGUUGGAUGAGCUAGUUGGUGAGGUAACGGCCCACCAAGGCGACGAUCCAUAGCCGACCUGAGAGGGUGACCGGCCACAUUGGGACUGAGACACGGCCCAAACUCCUACGGGAGGCAGCAGUGGGGAAUAUUGCACACUGGGCGAAAGCCUGAUGCAGCGACGCCGCGUGAGCGAAGAAGUAUUUCGGUAUGUAAAGCUCUAUCAGCAGGGAAGAUAAUGACGGUACCUGACUAAGAAGCACCGGCUAAAUACGUG